GACGAACGCUGGCGGCGUGCUUAACACAUGCAAGUCGAGCGGUAAGGCCCUUUCGGGGGUACACGAGCGGCGAACGGGUGAGUAACACGUGGGUGACCUCGCCCUCAGCUCUGGGAUAAGCCUGGGAAACCGGGUCUAAUACUGGAUAUGACUCCAUGACGCAUGUUGUGGGGUGGAAAGCCUUGUGCGGCUGAGGAUGGGCCCGCGGCCUAUCAGCUUGUUGGUGGGGUGANGGCCUACCAAGGCGACGACGGGUAGCCGGCCUGAGAGGG
rnacentral:rRNA from 1 species